rnacentral:rRNA from 1 species
GACGAACGCUGGCGGCGUGCUUAACACAUGCAAGUCGAACGGAAAGGCCUCUUUCGGGGGGUACUCGAGUGGCGAACGGGUGAGUAACACGUGAGUAACCUGCCCUUUACUUUGUGAUAACUUCAGGAAACUGGGGCUCAUACCGGAUAGGAGCUCCUGCUGCAUGUGGUGGGUUGGGAAAUUUCGGGGGGUGGGGAGGGGAUCGCGGCGUAUCAGCUUGUUUGGGGGGUAGUGGGUUACCAAGGGUUUGACGGGUAGCCGGGCCGGGAGGGGGACCGGGCAACAUGGGGCUGGGGUUAGGCCCAGACUUCUACGGGGGGCAACAGGGGGGAAUAAUGCAAAAAGGGUGGGAGCCCGAUGCAGCAACGCCGUGGGCGGGAUGACGGGCUUCGGGUUGGAAACCGCUUUCGCUCAUGACGAAGCUUUGUGUGACGGUAGUGGGUAAAGAAGCACCGGCUAACUACGUG